AAAGGAAUAGACGGGGACUCGCACAAGCGGUGGAGCAUGCGGUUUAAUUCGAUGCAACGCGAAGAACCUUACCAGGUCUUGACAUCUUGUUGACUGAUCUAGAGAUAGGUCUUUUCUUCGGAACAACAAAGACAGGUGGUGCAUGGUUGUCGUCAGCUCGUGUCGUGAGAUGUUGGGUUAAGUCCCGCAACGAGCGCAACCCUUAUCAUUAGUUGCUAACAUUGAGUUGAGCACUCUAAUGAGACCGCCGGUGAUAAACCGGAUGAAGGUGGGGAUGACGUCAAAUCAUCAUGCCCUUUAUGACCUGGGCUACACGCGUGCUACAAUGGCUAGUACAAAGAGUUGCGAAACCGCGAGGUGGAGCUAAUCUCAUAAAGCUAGUCUCAGUUCGGAUUGUAGUCUGCAACUCGACUACAUGAAGUCGGAAUCGCUAGUAAUCGUGAAUCAGAAUGUCACGGUGAAUACGUUCUCGAGUCUUGUACACACCGCCCGU
rnacentral:rRNA from 1 species